rnacentral:rRNA from 1 species
CCCUUAGAUGUUCUGGGCAGCACGCGCGCUACACUGACAUGUUCAACAAGCCUCCUAGUUCGACAGGAUUUGGGAAAUCUUUGAACGCAUGUCGUGAUAGGGAUAGAUCAUUGCAAUUAUUGAUCUUGAACGAGGAAUUCCUAGUAAACGCGAGUCAUCAGCUCGCAUUGAUUACGUCCCUGCCCUUUGUACACACCGCCCGUCGCACCUACCGAUUGAAUGUUUCGGUGAAGAUUCCGGAUAGGACUUUUUUGAUUUAUUUCAAUUCUGUCUUAAAAGCUAUCUAAACCUCAACAUUUAGAGGAAGGUGAAGUCGUAACA